rnacentral:lncRNA from 1 species
AUUUACAUAAAUUUUUUAAACUUAAAAGAGUAAAGAGAAGACACCCUGUUACGCGUCAGCCCUAAAAAUCCUCUUGUUUGAUUGAUUGCGUUGCAGUUGUGUUGAGAGCAGCAAAGUUUUCGUGUGGCAAAUGAGAAUCUUGACUUUUUUCUCCUUCAAGUCUUCUUUUUUAAUUUUGCCUUGCAGUUAUAUGAGGAAAAGGACAAAAAAGUACAUAUGAUCUCUGCCAACAAAUAAUCUAAUAAUUAAAUAAUUGGCGGACGAAUUAAAUUGUCAGGGAAUGCUAGGUGGACAUAGCUCGGCUUGCUCUACGUUAACGUAUGUCUAUCAAACAAGCAUUCCCUUCUAAUUCUUCUUUCAUUCAUAUAUGAUUUUGGUUUUAAACCCCCCAUUGAUGUUUCAGUUUGAUGCAUCACAAUGCUCUAUCACAUUCACCCACCUUGCAAAUCAUUUGGGGGUACCCCACUCCCCAUUGCCUUACCAAAUUACUCUCCUAUUCAUUUUGAUGACAAAAUCAACAUUUCUUUCUUUCUUUUUCUCCUUAUACUCUUUUAAAUAUGGAAGGAGUAUAGGGAGUAGGAGCAUAAUUAAACCUUUAUUUUUUUAGCCCUUGCUUGGCAUCACUCCCUUUUUUUUUCUUGUCUUUUUGGUUGUUGAGAUUGAAAAAGCAGUGGGAAUCAAAUGAAAUGAAUCGUAUUUUUGAGUGCUUAUCUUUUAACUCCCUCAAAUGGACUUUCUAGCAAUGAAAUCGUUGGAAGUGAUUUAAAGCUACAACGCACCAUCGUUUUCAUUUGGCUAAUAAUCAUACUCAUGAUUAAUAUGGGAACAGAUACAACACUCCUCUCGCUCUUCAUCUCAAUCGUAAGGUUCAUGGCGGCCAGCCACCUGCUGGCUGACUAGCCACCUUAAUUUAGCAACCAAAUUAUUGCCAUUUAAAAAAAAAAAAAACGAAGAAGAAAUUUGUGGAGAGUUCUAAAAAUUGAACGUAUAUGCAAAACGACUGGUAGAUAUUAAACGUGAGGUUUCUCCCAUUCAUAUUUAUCACCAAUAUCCAAAGUAAUUGCUUGAUAUCAGCUCAACACAAAGGACACGCCAUUUGCAUUAUUUAUUAAUUUGUUUUGGAUCUAGAAAUAGACAUUGACAUUCCCAUUCCUCCUAUAAUUGAACUAAGAGUGGGAGAUAUUAUCAUGUUAUUAUUGUAUAUGAAUGAUCUAACCAACUGGUGUUUGAAAGACCCAUUUUGGUGGAGGAUCAUGGCAUGGGGAACUUGUGGCUGCUUUGCCUUGGUUCACUAAGGUCGAGCCAGUUCAGCUUAUAAUUAUUGGCAUGGAGAUUAUGACAAGCACAUCAUAUUAUUGGCAUAUGUGGUGGGGUAACCCACCAUAAAGACGAUUCAAUUUUAGGAGAUCUGGUUAUCUUACAUCAAACUGGGGUCCUAAAUCAGGUGCUCUUUUCGUUUUAGUUUCUUCUUAUCUUCCUUCCUUCACCUUUCUUUUUGGAUUUGCUCUUUGCCUAAUUUUAAACUAAUUUGUUGCUAAUUAUUGUAGAUGUGCCCUUUCAAUUUUUCUUUUUUAAUAGAUUUUAUUGUUACUAGCUACAUAAAGUUAAGAUUACUAAAUCAAUUUUAAGUACAACUAACCCUUAUGCUAUUAUUAUUUUAUUUCUGAAAAGCAAACCUAAUAAUUUAAAGUUAAUAUUUGCAAUUUUGCAUGUGCUUUUAGGUUCAUUCAAUCUUAUAUUUUUAUUUCAUGUGAUUAAUUUAAAGUAAUAUUAUUAAAAAUGAUUUGAACAUAUUAACUAUUUUUAAAUUACAACAAUAAAAAAACUUCAAACCGUAAUUGAAUCUCAAUCAAACUAAUACAAUCAGCACGAUCUCUGUAAUAGUUAAAUUUGUUGCAGAGUCAAUUUUUUAUGUGUUAUUUUUACAAUCCAUGAUAGCUUGGAGACGACAUGGUUGGGAGAGGCAGCCACGAACCCUGAACAAGACCAUAAAAUAUACAUGAAAAAUAUUAAAAAAUAUAUAGUUCUAUUCCUAAGUGAAAAAAAAUAGUUCAGAUAUUAUUUCAAUAAAAUAUUUAAAUUUUAUAUAAAAAAAUCUAUUAGUCAUAUUUUAUUAAAUGAAUUACAUUUGUAAAUUUUAUUAAAAAUAUGAAUUAAACUCACUAAUUAAUAUUAUUAGUAUUGUUAAAAAAUAAAGAGACAUGGAGAGAAUAAAGAACAAAGAAGAUAUGAAAGGGAUAGAGAAUGUACUUUAUUGAUCAAAAGGGGUGAUUACAAUACUUCAUCAGAGUCUCUGUUUAUAGGCAUAAGAAGUACAAAAGAAGUAGAGAUCUAAUUCUAAUAACCAUUAGGAUUUAAAGUACAUUAAAACUUUAUCUUGAUCAUGAUGGACAUCAACUUAAUAAGAUAUUCAUAACAUUCCCCCUUAGAUGUCCAUUCGUAAAUAAUGUGCCUCAUCAAAACCUUAUUAGGAAAAACCCUAUGGGAUAAAAACUUAAUGAAGGAAAAAGAGUACACAAUCUAUAAUACGCAUAAUAUGCAGCCUCAUUAAAAACCUUACCAGGAAAACCCAAUGGGACAAAACCUCGAUUAAGGGAAAAAGAUCGUGCAACACAUAUUUACUUCCCCUCAUGAAAGCAUCACAUAUUUUCUCAUAUUCUACAUAUUCAAUCUUGAAUACUAGUUUUUCAAAUUACUAUUUGAAUAUAUUUACUAAGGAUUUAUAUUGUCAUUCUUUUAAAAGUCAUGAGUGAGAGAAAUUUGGGGAAAUAUAUUUUGAUCUCUUCAAGAGAUUCAACAAUAAUCAUAACAAACUUUAAUCAUGAUUCUUUUAUAAAAACACAAAUAUAUAUUUUGGAUAAUUUUAUAAUCCUCCUUCAACUACUAUUCACUAAGUCAAAUUUACCUCAUAUGUUCAAAUUAUUUCAAUUCAUAUAAAUGAACAAUUUCUCGAGAAUUUCAAUAUGUUUCUAGCAUCCUAAAUCCUUCAAUGAUUUUAAUAUAAACUUUACGUAUAGUGAUUCAUAAAAGGUUGUAACAAUAACCAUUAGACGCAAGUUAAAUCUUUUAUAAAUUGUCAAUUUAAUAAUAUAUCUAAAGGUUAUUGCAUCCACCACAACAGAAUAUUAUAUCUUUUCAUAAUUAAUGGCAGGACUUAGCGAAAUACUUCUUAUUUUUAUUUCGUUUUUGCAAAACUACUUCAAUUGCACCUUCACUGGCUUUAUACAUUUAGAUAUUUGGACUAUUGGUCCAAAAACUCUACGAAUUUAAUUGCACUUGAGUUGCGUCUUUUUAUUUUGAUCAAUUUAUUCCAUAUAUAUAUUUCUCAAUAGAUUUAUUCAAGAUCCUCAUUUUAUUUCAUUAUUUCAAUAAUAAUAUUGCAUGCAAAAUCAUUGUCGACCACUUUUAUUAUUCGGUUUCAUAUUUUCUUAAAUUGACAUAACUUAUCAAGAUCUCUUAUUUUAACUAUUUUAAUCUUCAGUUUCAGGUACCUGAAUCUCUUCUGGAGUUUUACUUAUUAGUUAUGUCUUGAGUCUCUUCUGGAGAACCCACCUAUAUGACCAUCUAGAAGAAUUUUCAUCUUCGGAACCGAUCAAUCUAUUAUUUAUUCUAACUAAUUGUCCUACUGAGACUUUUUAUUCAAAUUAAAAUAUUAACUUGGUUAUUCUCAUUAAUUUUGUAAAUACAUCUGAUAGUUAACUUGUAAUGAGUUAUCUUUAUUGAACUUCUGGUUCAAAUUACUCUCCCCCUAACUCAUUACAAGUUAUUAUUUCUCUUCCCCUAAUGUUGAGAAAACUAUCGUAUCAAAAUUGUAAUAACAAAUCAUGUCAUAAUUGAAUCUCGAAUACAUUCAAAACAUCUAAUAAUAUAAAGAAACUUGUAAUUAAUAUAUAUUCCCAACUUUCUUUAAGGAUUCACUCAUCUUUGUGCGUUGUGGUGGAGCAAUAGGAACAUAUACACACAUACAAAAAUUCAAAGAUGAGAAAUAUUUAGCUCUUGAUCAAAAACUAAUUGUAAUGAAGAGUAAUAACUUACUGGCUUGAUGCAUACAACACAUAAAUCAACAUAAUCUCAUGUUGAAAUAGGAAUUUUAGUUCUCAUAACUAAUGAUUUAGACAUUAAUCAGAGGUAUUUAAUCAAUAAUUUCUCUAAAUCAUUAUGCGCAAACUUUUACAAAAGUUUUUCAAACUCAAUAAAAUCAUUAGUAUUAGCAAGAUGAGUUGUCUUAAUUGCAUGAUCUGAAAUUAAUUAUUUAAAUAAGAAAUCUUACAAACGACAGGUUACAAAUUGAUAACAUAUAUGUGAUUAUUUUGUAGAUGCAUCUACUAAAAUCAUAUAAUAUCAAAACCAUCCGCAUGAUGGAUGAAUGGACCCAUAUUC